GCCCGGCCGGGUGGCCUCUGCUCAGAGGCCUGUGGCGCCUGCGCACUGGCGAUCGGAUGCAACCCACCCAGACCCUCCGGCAGGAGUGUCGUCGGCCCCUUCACCGACCGAAUCUACCCACGUGUGUUCCGCUGCCCGCUGGGGGCGCCUCGGCGCCAGUCGGCUCCCUGUGCGCCGCCCUGUACCCAUCUUUGCGUCACACUUCGGGUCACGCGUGCCACGGAUCCGCCACUAGAUUAUAUGCCCUGGAUUAUUCUUCCCGGUUCUGCGUCUCGGGGCAGGUACCCGGUCAGUCGGUUGCCACGUGUUUACGGAGCACCCGGGUUCCAGGCAUUGUGCUGGGUGCCGGCAGCAUGGGCGAGGUCCCGACACUCUAGUAGGAGAGACAGACAAUGAAAGGAAUCAUAGAUCUAACGUGGAGUCUGAUACGCAGUGCUCAAAAGUGUGCAGUGAACCAACGAAUGGGGGAGAAAAAAGAGUGCAUAGGCCAGACUGAGAAGACACACUUCUGGGAGCAUACGUGAGUCUCCGGGACUCUGUGACAACGCGUGAUCGCUUCUUAAUCGCGUGGAUUUGAGGACCGUAUUGGGUGUCCUGUAACACCUUCUUACGGUGUGUUUUUUACCUGUCUGUGCUUUUAAGGAAAGAACACCUGUGUCGGUAUGAUCCUGGCUAAGUCUAAUUACUAGUUUUGUUAAAGAGGAUAAAUAACCCUUGGUUUUUUUUAGA